rnacentral:tRNA from 1 species
GGGCUCGUAGCUCAGCCUGGUAGAGCGUCCCGUUCGCAACGGGGAGGCCUCGGGUUCAAAUCCCGACGAGUCCA